rnacentral:rRNA from 1 species
AUUGAACGCUGGCGGCAGGCCUAACACAUGCAAGUCGAGCGGAUGAAGGGAGCUUGCUCCUGGAUUCAGCGGCGGACGGGUGAGUAAUGCCUAUGAAUCUGCCUGGUAUUGGGGGAUAACGUCCGGAAACGGGCGCUAAUACCGCAUACGUCCUGAGGGAGCAAGUGGGGGAUCUUCGGACCUCACGCUAUCCGAUGAGCCUAGGUCGGAUUAGCUAGUUGGUGGGGUAAAGGCCUACCAAGGCGACGAUCCGUAACUGGUCUGAGAGGAUGAUCAGUCACACUGGAACUGAGACACGGUCCAGACUCCUACGGGAGGCAGCAGUGGGGAAUCUUGGACAAUGGGCGAAAGCCUGAUCCAGCCAUGCCGCGUGUGUGAAGAAGGUCUUCGGAUUGUAAAGCACUUUAAGUUGGGAGGAAGGGCAGUAAGUUAAUACCUUGCUGUUUUGACGUUACCAACAGAAUAAGCACCGGCUAACUUCGUG